CCUACGGGAGGCAGCAGUAGAGAAUUUUUCGCACUGGGCGAAAGCCUGACGCUGCAACGCCGCGUGAUCGAGACGCCCUUCUGGGUGUAAAUAUCUGUCAGUUGGGGCGACACUUGACGGUAACCACACCGCAAGCACCGGUGAACUCCGUCCCAGCAGCCGCGGUAAUACGGGGGGUGCAAGCUUUGGCCGGAAUCAUUGGGCGUAAGGAGUUCGUAGGCGGCACGUAAUGUCUGGUGUGAAUGUCAGAGGCGCAACUUCUGUACGGCACUGGAUACUGGCAAGCUAGAAUGAGGUAGAGGGAAAGGGAAUUCCUGGUGUAGCGGUGAAAUGCUUAGAUAUCAGGAGGAACAUUCGUGGCGUAAGCGCGUUCCUGGGCAGUAAUUGACGCUGAGGAACGAAAGCCAGGGUAGCAAAAGGGAUUAGAUACCCGAGUAGUC
rnacentral:rRNA from 1 species